AGGCUAUAGCCUUACUUUUUGGCCAAUUUUCGACCUUUUUUCAAAAAUGGAAAAAGUGGGUGAAAAUGUACGAAAAGUUAAGGCUAUAGCCUUAAUUUUUU